rnacentral:rRNA from 1 species
AUUGAACGCUGGCGGCAUGCCUAACACAUGCAAGUCGAACGGCAGCACAGCCGUAGCAAUACGGUGGGUGGCGAGUGGCGGACGGGUGAGGAAUGCAUCGGAAUCUGCCCGGUCGUGGGGGAUAACGCAUCGAAAGGUGCGCUAAUACCGCAUUAGAUCGAGAGAUGAAAGCGGGGGACCGCAAGGCCUCGCGCGAUCGGAUGAGCCGAUGCCGGAUUAGCUAGUUGGCGGGGUAAAGGCCCACCAAGGCGACGAUCCGUAGCUGGUCUGAGAGGAUGAUCAGCCACACUGGGACUGAGACACGGCCCAGACUCCUACGGGAGGCAGCAGUGGGGAAUAUUGGACAAUGGGCGCAAGCCUGAUCCAGCAAUGCCGCGUGUGUGAAGAAGGCCUUCGGGUUGUAAAGCACUUUUAUCGGGAGCGAAAAGCGGACGGUGAAUACCCGUCCGUGCUGACGGUACCCGAGGAAUAAGCACCGGCUAACUUCGUGCCAGCCGCCGCAGUAAUAC